GAUGAAGAACGCAGCGAAAUGCGAUACGUAAUGUGAAUUGCAGAAUUCAGUGAAUCAUCGAAUCUUUGAACGCAUAUUGCGCUCUUUGGUAUUCCGAAGAGCAUGCUUGUUUGAGUAUCAGUAAACACCUCAAAGACUUCAAUUUGUUUUGAAUGGCUUUGGACUUGAGCAAUCCCAACACCAGUCUUUACGAUCGGUGGAGGGUUGCUUGAAAUGCAGGUGCAGCUGGACAUUCUCCUGAGCUAAAAGCAUAUUUAAUUAGUCCCGUCAAACGGAUUAUUACUUUUGCUGCAGCUAACAUAAAGGGAGUUUGACCGUAUUGGCUGACUGAUGCAGGAUUUCACAAGGGUCGGCAACGAUUCUUGUAAAACUCGAUCUCAAAUCAAGUAAGACUACCCGCUGAACUUAAGCAUAUCAAUAAGCGGAGGA
rnacentral:misc_RNA from 1 species